rnacentral:rRNA from 1 species
CGCGGCCUAUCAGCUUGUUGGUGGGGUAACGGCCCACCAAGGCGACGACGGGUAGCCGGCCUGAGAGGGCGACCGGCCACACUGGGACUGAGACACGGCCCAGACUCCUACGGGAGGCAGCAGUGGGGAAUAUUGCACAAUGGGCGAAAGCCUGAUGCAGCGACGCCGCGUGAGGGAUGACGGCCUUCGGGUUGUAAACCUCUUUCAGCAGGGAAGAAGCGAAAGUGACGGUACCUGCAGAAGAAGCGCCGGCUAACUACGUGCCAGCAGCCGCGGUAAUACGUAGGGCGCAAGCGUUGUCCGGAAUUAUUGGGCGUAAAGAGCUCGUAGGCGGCUUGUCACGUCGGAUGUGAAAGCCCGAGGCUUAACCUCGGGUCUGCAUUCGAUACGGGCUAGCUAGAGUGUGGUAGGGGAGAUCGGAAUCCCUGGUGUAGCGGUGAAAUGCGCAGAUAUCAGGAGGAACACCGGUGGCGAAGGCGGAUCUCUGGGCCAUUACUGACGCUGAGGAGCGAAAGCGUGGGGAGCGAACAGGAUUAGAUACCCUGGUAGUCCACGCCGUAAACGUUGGGAACUAGGUGUUGGCGACAUUCCACGUCGUCGGUGCCGCAGCUAACGCAUUAAGUUCCCCGCCUGGGGAGUACGG